rnacentral:rRNA from 1 species
GACGAACGUUGGCGGCGUGCUUAAUACAUGCAAGUCAACUGAAGCAGUGGUAGCAAUAUCGCUGUGGAGGUGGCGCACGGGUGAGUAACACGUAGGUAAUCUGCCUUCAGGUCUGGCAUAACUCCGGGAAACCGGGGCUAAUGGCAGAUGAUGCAGCGGCUCGACAUCGAGACAGUUGUUAAAGCUAUGGCGCCUGAAGAUGAGCCUGCGUCUGAUUAGCUAGUUGGCGGGGUAACGGCCCACCAAGGCAACGAUCAGUAGCUGGUCUGAGAGGAUGAUCAGCCACACUGGAGCUGAGACACGGUCCAGACUCCUACGGGAGGCAGCAGUAAGGAAUAUUGCUCAAUGGGAGAAAUCCUGAAGCAGCAACGCCGCGUGAGGGACGAAGGGCUUUUGCUUGUAAACCUCUGUAGUGAGAGAAAAAAAUCCCAAUCUUUGGGACAUGAUGGUAUCUCAAAAGUAAGCCCCGGCUAACUACGUG